UCACUGCAUUCAAGCUUCAGCCUCACCCGACUUCGGCGUCAGAUUUUUUCCACUCCUACCGUGUGCCUACCAUCUCCGAGCUCCAGUGCUCGCCACCCAGCCACUCGCCUUCGUGCCCAGCCACUCGCCUCCACCCCAUCCCUGGAUCCUCACCACCCUCUGCUUCACCAACCUCACCAGCACCCUUCACCUACCACCUUGGAGAUCCCCAGCUCCCAUUCCCUGACUGUCAUUCCUCACCCCCUCCUUGUCAUCUUCAUUAAAGCCCUUUGUUUGUGCACCUCGAA